CUACGGAGGGUGCAAGCGUUGUUCGGAAUCACUGGGCGUAAAGGGCGCGCAGGCGGUUUGGUAAGUCAGAUGUGAAAGCCCAUGGCUCAACCAUGGAAGUGCAUUUGAAACUGUCAGACUUGAGUACUAGAGGGGAAAGUGGAAUUCCCGGUGUAGAGGUGAAAUUCGUAGAUAUCGGGAGGAAUACCGGUGGCGAAGGCGACUUUCUGGCUAGAUACUGACGUUGAGGCGCGAAAGCGUGGGGAGCAAACAGGAUUAGAAACCCCAGUAGUCC
rnacentral:rRNA from 1 species